GACGUAGGGCGCGAGCGUUGUCCGGAUUUAUUGGGCGUAAAGAGCUCGUAGGCGGCUUGUCGCGUCGAAUGUGAAAUCUCAGGGCUCAACUCUGACAUUGCAUUCGAUACGGGCAGGCUAGAGUUCGGUAGGGGAGACUGGAAUUCCUGGUGUAGCGGUGAAAUGCGUAGAUAUCGGGAGGAACACCUGUGGCGAAGGCGGCCCCCUGGUUGGAUACUGACGCUGAUACGCGAAAGCGUGGGGAGCAAACAGG
rnacentral:rRNA from 1 species